AAGGCGGAACCGAAAAGCCAAUAACAGAGUAGGGA
rfam:Chryseobacterium gambrini strain DSM 18014 genome assembly, contig: Ga0111674_101